GGGCAUGUCCAAAUGGGCUUGAAACCCUAACACUUGAACCAAAACCAAAACCAAAUCCUCUCUCAAGCCCGACAUAAUCACUCCUCUCGACAGCUCGCGAAACCUCCUCUUCACUCGCGUCUACACAAAACCAAAACCCAACUCCUCUUCACUUGCGUCUCACAAAACCAAAACCAAAACCAAAUCCAAUUGAAGGCUUGAUGGCAGAUUGCCCAAGACCGGAAAUCUCAUCUUUCAUUCCCACAAACAAUACCCAAUACCCAAAAUCUCAUCUUAUUGUUGCUGAUUGUGUUCUUUCGCUAGUUUCAUUUGGAUCUAAAAUUUUUAAGAAAGCUAAAGGAAGUCUCAAGAAGAAUCAGGGGUCCGAGAAGAAUUCUUAUCAAGUCAAUAUGGGACUCGAGUGCAAGAGCCAAAGCUAAAGGGUUCCAUGUUUGAAGAAGCUGAGCUACGGCGGAGAAAGCAUCUUGAUCGAAGAAGCCUUGAAUGACUCGAUUAGUCCAUCUUUACGAUUGGGAGAUGCGAGUUGGUGAACUCGAAAUUGAAAACAAACCCUUUCAGGUCACUAUUUCGAUCUUUCUGGUUUCAUUUUCAGUUUCAAUUUGGUUUUGCAGUGUCACCACCCAAAUUCACCUUCCCAAUGGCUUCAAUUUUUGAUCUUUUUGAUGGCUUCAUUCACCCCUCUGCAAUCGUUCACCCCAAUACGCACAGAAGCCUCUAGGUUACCUCACUAGGCUCAUGGGUGCCUCACUAGAUCAUGGACGAGUCUGAAAUACCCUAAAUAUAUUACCAGCUAUGGUUGAACUAUUAGUUUGGACAAUGAAGUAAAUUCAUGGACAAAAUUGAGGAGGCCCUGCCCUUGUUGUUGAUGUUCCCAGGGAUAGCAACAUAACUGGUGCGCAUUUCUUACUUCGACUUCUCUGUAUAUACUUCAAAUUCAUGCAGUCUUUUUAGAAUCCCAUUUACACUUGAUCAAUUUAAUGUCAAUAUUUUAUAUCCCAUGUUUCCAGUGACGAGUUUCAAUUUUGUUCAAUUUCUUACAAUCAAAAUGUUAAGAUUGUUCUAGCACUUCUGUAUCUCACGUUUCAAGAAACUGAUAUCAAUUUUUCUGCAUUUGAAAUUGUAACGUCCCGUAUCUUAAUUUAUCCGUUUACUAGUCAUUUGGACGGUAAACAACAACCACUUUCACCUUUUACUCUGUUUUAGAACUUUUAGUGGCCCUAAAAGAUGACUUUUUGUUCGGGUCAAAAUUUGAGAAAAUGUUCUUCAUGAAAGUUAUCGAGGACGUUAAACCGAGCGCGUGCAUAUGUGGUACGUAAAAAUCGGAGUUCGUAUGCGAAAGUUAUAAGCGAAAAUGUAAAAGUUACUGUUCAUGGUAAUUUAUCUUUAAAUAGCCGAGUUACUGUGGUAAGUUUCCAUUUUUGGAAACUUACCGGCUUUUCUCUCUCCUCUCCCCCGACCCUUUCUUCCUCUUCAGUCCGGUUUCUUCUUCCUCCGAUUUCUCCCUUCUCCGGCCGACCCACGACGGAAUCCGGGCACCGGCAAGCUCGCCUCAUCCUCCUUGUCACGCCUGUGGUGGUGUUUUGCGGUGGCUCGGCCGGAGGAGCUCGGAUUUGAGCCGUGAAGUCCACUGUAGCAAAUCGGAAGUUUCGUCGAUUUCCGGCGAUUUCGGCCGUUUCCGGUCACCAAACCGGCGUCGAAGGUGCGGUUUUCGCCAAAGAUCAUUUUUCCCCUAGCCUUGUGCCACGAUUUGCAGUGUGGAGGUCGAAUCGACGAUUUCAAAUCCUAGGGUUCUUGGGUUUUUCUGGAAAAAAUUUCACCGGCCGGUUUCGACUGUUUCAAGGGCGACGUACCGAGCUCUUGCUCGAUGAAGGAACUCGUAUACUUGAUCGUUGGAAUAGUACUUUUGCAGGCUAGGUUAGUUGAGGUCGGGCGUACAUGGAGUCGAGGCAUAGCCAAUAGCAUUGCUUCCGCGUAUUCAUUCUAUUUAUGUUUUCUUUGUUACCUAGUGGAUUAGUAUUGCUCUGAUAACCUGUGGAAUUAAUAUUGUUUUUGGGUUGAGAUUGGUAUUUGUGAAAUUGGAGUUGUGAUUUGGUGAGCAGAUGGCUCCAGGAGAAUAAGGAUGAGUGAUUUAGAAGUGUAAAUGUUUUCCUACAGGUUUUGGGUAGCCUACUUUUAGGGGAGGUUCCGCCAAAUUUUUGGUAGAAUUUCUUCUAAGGUGGGCCCCGCAGGGCCACUUCGGAUUUCGUGGUGAAAUCCGGGGCGGGUCCUGUCAGAAAUACUUGCUUUUGGCGUACCUUCACAGCUGAGGUGAUGAAGUCCUUAAAUAUUCCCAAGGGUACUCGCCGAGUACUUUUCAGGACAUUAAAUAUUGAUAGGGGUCUUAUGCAUAAAAAGGAAUUUGACUCAAGCUGGAUUCACGGAGGAUGGAGCAAAAUGGGUAGUAAAGAACACAGACAUCAAACUUGUUGGAACUGAUUACUUUUCCAUUGUACCUAUGAUGAAGCUAUUCCGGCUCAUAUUGCUUUUUUAAAGGGAAGGCGUCCAUGAUUCGAGAGUAAUCUAUUCUCAAAACUCAUCUGAAGAGCUGGAAACAAAGCCAUUCAGUAGCAGCAAGGAUCAUGAACAAGAUCAUACUGAGCUCUCCUGCUGUGAAGAAUGCACUUCAAAUUAUGAGAAAGAAGCUCAGUUGCUCAAAUCUAGCCAGCAGAAAUUGCUUGCCUGGCUUCAAACACAUGGCACCGAAGCCCGUCAAAAGGAAAUCGUACCUGUGGAAGGCCUAAAGCUUGAUGGCAUAAAACCAGGAAAUUAUUCUGUGCAUUGCUUACCUUUAAGGUUGCUUGCUGCUGAAGGAGCACUAACAAGAUGCAUUCUCAUCAAAUGAUCCGGACUCUAUUUCAUUUUCAACGAUGGCAGAACACAUUUCUGCUAGUAACAUCUUGAAUCAAUUGUGAUUGUUAUUCAUUGUCCCUCUGUUCCACUAGAAGAGUUGGCAGGACAACCCUUGGUUGCUAAAACUGGAGCUCUCUCUGCCAAAAGUUACUCUUUGAAGACUCGCUCAACUGUGAUCAACAAUUUUAAAAUGGUAGACUCAGCAGAAAGUGAUGGCAUUGAGAAGGUUGGGUGUCAGGAAGUGUUUAUAUGCAAUAAAGCAAGGUUCUGUUCCAAUAUGAGGCCAUGAGAGCAGCAAAGCUAGACUCCUUAAGUAAAUUUCUGGAUGUAUAUUGCUAGGAGAGUACUAUUACAUCGAUGUACUCCUUUUGUGGAUAAAAGAUUACCUUUACACAAUCCAUUUUGGUGCACAUGAUGUGGAUUAUAACAAUCUCUUCUAUAUAUUGAUUAGUUACUGUUAAUUUGAUAA